UCCAAUGGUGCAAAUAGAAUCAAAAGUUCCUGAUAUAGAAUAAGCAAAUGAUGGAAGAAGCCAAGUUUCCUGAGUGGCCACUAGGAAAACUCUGUCUUCUUUAUCAAAACUAUGAGGUGAGCAACACCAAGUCUUCAAUUUUCCUAUGCCAUUGGGCUUUAAGAUUUUUUAAUAUAAGCAGCUAGCAUUAAUUACCCUGACUAAUAAAUAGUAC
rnacentral:lncRNA from 1 species